CAACAAUUGGUCUGAAGCCGUACUCUUAGUGAAGUAGAGAAGAAAAAGAUUUAGUAGUGCAAUCAACAAAAAAUAUCUCCCUCACUCUAUUGCAUCUAUUUGAACAUGCUGGACAGGAUGACCUGGGAGGUUAUAGCAAUCUUUCCUACAGCCUCACACGAAUAUAAACAGUAGAUGCCUGUGAAGGACUCUUGCACAUACACAUAUUCCCAAAGGUAAAUUUAAGUUAGGCAUAGACAAACAGAAGGCAGUGGCUGUGCCUCCUUUGAGAUUGAAAGACCACCCUGGUCUCAUUGGCAACAGUAGGUCAAAAUCUACCACUUGUCUACUGAUUAGUGUCUGGUUUGGAGUAAGUAAUGCAACACCACUCUCUGCUCCGAAGAGAAAUUAUAAGUUUGAGAAAGAGUUCAGAAAUAUCUCAGAGCCAUGAUCUGAAUACAGAUAUUGACAGAGACGUCUGAGAGGAGAAACCAAGAUCGUUUAUGACUAUGUCCUCAUUAGGAUCUCAAAUUUCACGGGCACCACAAGGCUACCCCAACUCAGAUUUAAUCAGCAGCAGACACCCAUCAGAAGGAAGGAAGGGCCAUCCCUGCCCCCUGAUGUCUAUUUGCUCCAAGAGCCAGGCCUGCAGAUAUGAAGAUGAGUCACCGUUCCAGCAGUGUCAGUGAUGUGACUGAUACUACAUGUGUCAGAAACCAUAUUCACAGUUUUACUAGUACACUUUGAAUCAGGAAUCCAGCUGGGAAAUAAUUCCCAAACCUAUGUCGCCGGACAUUGUUAAAUACGCUCCCAUGAUCAGAUUCUUCAUCAACAGGAGUCUCCAUUCUGAAAUAUCAUGAUAUCCCUUAAACAUGGAAUCCAAAAAGAAAUGAAACAAAUGAACGAGACCGAAACAGACUCAGAUGUAGAGAACCAGCUUAUGGUUGCCAGGGGGAAGGGCUGGGGGAAGAGACAGUUAGGGAAUUGGGGAUAGACAUGUGUGCACUGCUAUAUUUAAUAUGGAUAACCAACAAGGACCUAUUGUCCAGAGCACAGGGAACUCUGUUCAAUGUUAUAUGGCAGCCUGGAGGGGAGGGUUGUUUGGGAGAGAAUUGAUAGCUGUGUAUGUAUGACUGAGUCCCUUUGCUGUUCAUUUGAAACAAUCACAGCAUUGUUAAUCAUCUGUAUUCCAAUAUAAAAUAAUUUUUUUUAAAAAAGACUUGAAAAAAAAAUAGGAAUCUGUAUUCUCUAUGCCCCUAAGUCCAUAAACCACACUGUCUACAUGAAAUAGAGUGAGUUUUCAUCAGAGUUCCAUUUUUGGGUGGGCUUUUCAUCCUGAGCCUUAUCUGGCAGGACUUUAUCAGUUGAAGAGGGACAUUCAUUUUGUCAUGCUAUGUGCCAAUCUAAAACAUCACUGCACAUAAAACCAUAUACAAUGUAUUCCGUGCUUCCAGAGAGAGAUAAGGAAACUGCAGUUUGGAGAGACGGUCAUGUGCUAGCACUUGACGGAAAUGGAGGAGAAUCAAGAUUCGGGACAAAGAGUCCCCUUUAGCUUGGUGAUGCGUGGACUUGACUGAUAAGUCAAGAGCACAGGACAGAAGAGCUGAGAGGGGACACUGGGCACGUUUGCCAGAAGGAGGAGCAAGGCAAGUGCUGACUCAGAUGUGGACUGAAGACACUGAGUCCAGCCAACGUACGCUGGAGAGGGGGACACAGCGAGAAAGCAAUACGCUCCCCAAAGCUGAUAAAGCGCCGUGCAGAGAAGUCAGUCUGGAGCCUGGGUCUGUGCGUCUCAACACCAUCAGCUUCUGACAGCAUGCGUGGCUCUGAGGGGCACUUCAUAGCAUUUGCUGGGAAAUAAUACACCGCAGAUGAGUCCCAGGGCAGCUGAAUUGCCAGGACAUCUAGAUCAGAGUGUUUUCCCGAUAAAAGCAGGGCACUUUCAUUUUCAAGGCUUUCCCCACCAUGGAAGUCCGGCUGACACACUAGGUGACGAUCACCCAAUACAGCAGCUAUUACUACCGCACUCGUCUUCAGUGUUUUUAUUUUGCUUUUCUUUUCACCAAAAAUUGAAAGCAAACUCCCCAAAGGUUGACCUCAAUGAUUCUUUCCCUCUCUUUCCUUUGAUUCAUGCAGAACAUUCAGUGUGUGUGUGGGGC
ensembl:lncRNA